UACGGAGGGGGCUAGCGUUGUUCGGAAUUACUGGGCGUAAAGCGCACGUAGGCGGCUUUGUAAGUCAGGGGUGAAAUCCCGGGGCUCAACCUCGGAACUGCCUUUGAUACUGCAAAUCUCGAGUCCGGAAGAGGUGAGUGGAAUUCCUAGUGUAGAGGUGAAAUUCGUAGAUAUUAGGAAGAACACCAGUGGCGAAGGCGGCUCACUGGGCCGGUACUGACGCUGAGGUGCGAAAGCGUGGGGAGCAAACAGG
rnacentral:rRNA from 1 species